rnacentral:lncRNA from 1 species
UUUAUAAGGAGACAAAAGUUGGCUAAUGAUCAGGGUGACCAUAUAAUAUAUAUUCUAAGUCAGGACCUUUCUGGGAAUGAAAAUAGGAGCUAUUAAUAACUGUGCUAGGACAACGUGUAAGAUGGGAUUAAGGGCCCCCUACGUAUAAUUAAAAUCAGAACAUGUAUCUAGACAGGUUUCAGUGAUUUAUUGUGCAUUUCAAAACAGAACACACUUCAUAUCUAACACAAACAUGGUCAUAUGAUUUUUAUUUUAAUUCUCUCUUUAGAGGAAAAACUACAAUAAUCUAUUGAGAAAUGCCCUAUGCAGUCUGACAUUUCUCUUUAUUCCUGAUCCUUCCAAGUGUCUCCUCAAGGUAAGAUUCCCUUCUGGAACACAGCCUUGGAAGUAAAUGUUUGCUUUACUUAAUACUUUUGGUUUGAAGAGCUAGCCCCUGAGUUUCCAUCUGUCCAGCCAACACUGACACGUCCACGUUUCCAAGGUACAACACCAUGCUUGAAACAUCAUAGAGACCCCAAAAAAGCAUGGGUCUUUGCAGAGUGGAUGGAAGAAAUAAAAUUGCGAUGAGAUGCUUUAACUACUAACGAGAAAAGUGUUUUUAAGCACUUCCGUACUUCCAAGAACUUCAUAUUAUUAGUUAAAUCAAUAUUUUGAUUAUGUGUAAUACUUAGUUCAUUACAAUGAGUCUAAAAGGCUUUAUCAACCUUCUUUUGAUUAUUUUUCAUAAUUGGAAAUAAUGCAAUGUCAUCUU